rnacentral:rRNA from 1 species
CUACGGGCGGCUGCAGUGAGGAAUAUUGCACAAUGGGGGGAACCCUGAUGCAGCAACGCCGCGUGGAGGAUGACGCAUUUCGGUGUGUAAACUCCUUUUAUAUGUCAAGAAAAUGACGGUAGCAUAUGAAUAAGCACCCGCUAACUCCGUGCCAGCAGCCGCGGUAAUACGGAGGGUGCAAGCGUUACUCGGAAUCACUGGGCGUAAAGGACGCGUAGGCGGGUUGGAAAGUCAGGUGUGAAAUCCUACAGCUUAACUGUAGAACUGCACUUGAAACUUCUAAUCUAGAGUAUGGGAGGGGGAGAUGGAAUUAGUGGUGUAGGGGUAAAAUCCGUAGAUAUCACUAGGAAUACCUAAAGCGAAGGCGAUCUCCUGGAACAUUACUGACGCUAAGGCGUGAAAGCGUGGGGAGCAAACAGGAUUAGAUACCGUGUAGUC